rnacentral:tRNA from 1 species
GGAAAUGUGCCUGAAUCAAAGGGCUAUUUUGAUAGAGUAGACCAUAGGAACGACACUUCCUCAUUUCCC